GGAAAGAGUGGAGAGCAGUGGAUGCAGGCCUGUGAGAGGAAUAAGGACGAGGAGGGGUGUGCGCGAGAAGGGGGGUAAUACGUGUGAGAGUACCCUGAAGAGUGGCAUCGGUAGUACGGGUGGUGGGAGGAGGGGAAGCGCGAGGGGCAAGAGGCGACCGUUCACGUCUUUUCGACGUCGACGCAACCCCGUUGGCGCAGAAUAGCUGCUCAGUGCUCGUCGAACGGCGCUGUGUUGCGACGGGACCAUGCCGCCGCGCCCUGCACCACCGAUCAACCGAUCUCAGACGACAUAGUCCACGAUAGGAAUUGAUGAUCCGCUCUGGCUCGACAACCCGUCAAAAUUGAUCGAUCGAAGGAUCGAUUACCGGAAACAGACGACCAAAAAUGUGACGCUCGGUGUGCGCUCGACGGCUCGGGGCUCGAACAGAGAAGACUGGACGACUAUUGGGAGCGUGACGUUGGAUUGACGAGAUAAAAGUGAAGAAAAUCGUAGAGAUAGGUAAAAAAUUGUUGCCCAGGAAGUGGAAACGAAUGGCGCUAAAUGAGGAUAGACCGGAAUGGAAGAGAUCCGAUUACGUCGUGCGGGAUUAUCCGUUGGAGAACAAAUUCACGGCGAUGUAUUCCGCUAUGAUGGAUGCAGGAUUUCUUGCAAACGUAGAACAAGCGGUGAAGAAGGUCCGGAAAGUGAACCGCGCUCACGAGUUUUCGCUUUUAU
rnacentral:misc_RNA from 1 species